AAUAGAUACCCAGGUAGUCCACGCCGUAAACGAUGGAUGCUAGCCGUUGGGCAGCUUGCUGCUCAGUGGCGCAGCUAACGCAUUAAGCAUCCCGCCUGGGGAGUACGGUCGCAAGAUUAAAACUCAAAGGAAUUGACGGGGGCCCGCACAAGCGGUGGAGCAUGUGGUUCAAUUCGACGCAACGCGAAGAACCUUACCAGCUUUUGACAUGUCCGGUAUGGGCACCAGAGAUGGAGCCCUUCAGUUCGGCUGGCCGGAACACAGGUGCUGCAUGGCUGUCGCCAGCUCGUGUCGUGAGAUGUUGGGUUAAGUCCCGCAACGAGCGCAACCCUCGCCCUUAGUUGCCAUCAUUCAGUUGGGCACUCUAAGGGGACUGCCGGUGAUAAGCCGGCGAGGAGGGUGGGGAUGACGUCAAGUCCUCAUGGCCCGUUACAGGCUGGGGCUACACACGUGCUACAAUGGCGGUGACAGUGGGAAGCGAACCCGCGAGGGGGAGCUAAUACUACAAAAACCGU
rnacentral:rRNA from 1 species